rnacentral:rRNA from 1 species
UAAUACAGAGGGUGCAAGCGUUGCUCGGAUUUACUGGGCGUAAAGCGUACGCAGACGGCUUGGUAGGUCGGAUGUGAAAGCCCCGGGCUCAACCCGGGAAUUGCAUCCGAAACCACCUCGCUCGAGUGUGGGAGAGGGAAGCGGAAUUCCUGGUGUAGAGGUGAAAUUCGUAGAUAUCAGGAGGAACACCGGCGGCGAAGGCGGCUUCCUGGCCCAUUACUGACGUUCAGGUACGAAAGCGUGGGUAGCAAACAGGAUUAGAUACCCUGGUAGUCCACGCCGUAAACGAUGUGUGCUGGAUGUCGGGGGUAUUCACCCCCUCGGUAUCGAAGCCAACGCGAUAAGCACACCGCCUGGGGAGUACGGCCGCAAGGUUG